ACCAUCAAAACACUACAACUUCUACACACUCUCUCUCUAAAAUCGUUUGAACCAAACACACCACCAUCUUCACAUUUUCAAAAUUCAAACACUAGAGAUUAUUGCAAGUAUGGAGGUCCAUGGAUGAAUCAAACUACUAGGGUGUUUAGAAAAGCUAGUUGGAGCCCUUUUGGUGGAACUUGAAGCUUAAAAUCAUCAAGAUUUCUUAUCAUCAUCUUUGUUUUCUUGGAAAAAUUAUAUUGAUACUUGAUGAUGUCGAGAAACGAACCGCGAACAAGGAAUCGAAUAGAGAUUUGCACGGAACGCAAAUCUGUGAGUUCAUGUUUUCCCCUUUUACUUUGA
rnacentral:lncRNA from 1 species